UGGGAAUUGAACUCAAGACCUCUGGAAGGGCAGUCAGUGCUCUUAACCACUGAGCCAUCUCUCCAGCCCUGUCUUUGUUAUUUUUAAUGGCUGUAUAUUAUCCCAGCAAGAAGAGAGUCUUAUUUUUUUUCAUGGCUUAUUUGCCCAUUCAAAUCAUACCCCAGCAUUAGAUCUUAAGGUGCUACAUGUUGCUUUUUCAAUUGUUUCGGCCUUUGGGAUUCUGUAGCUGAUAACAUUUUGAAGUCAGCACAUAUAUGUUAGCAAAUUUCGUGAAGAUGGAAUGACUCAGCCUCUUACCUGUACAAGCUAUUCUUACUGUAUAUUUUUCUUUUCAUUGCCAGGAAGGCUUAAAGAAAACAGCUUCAAUUUCAAUGUGUGACCACAAUGUUUAUGGUUACACCUUCUGACCUAUCUGCUCUACUACAGACUCACAGUGAUAACCAUGAGUAUGUCCUGAUGUCUGUCAAGACAUAACCGGGGACUAUGAUCGGGAGACUAAGAACCUUAAACAAAACAUGUUCAAAGUCCAUGGAGAGGAUUAUGGGAAGGGCUUCCUUUAAGUCAUGUUUAGCUAUUUAUAGUUACCAGGUAUUACUGUAGUUAGAAAAAUGGCCAGAUCUAGUUAAUCUGGAGGAAAGAAAUUGCAAACAGUAGCACCCCAGUUUCAUUUGCAAGAGUGAGCUGGACGUGGGCUUUAGAAUCCUACAGAAGCCUGACAUGACCAUGAGUUUUCUGUCAAACUGAGGAAUCAUCAUUUACAUGAGAUAAUGUCUUUAGAAUCAUAAGACUACAAAAAAAAAAAAAAAAGAAAAGAAAAAGAAAUCAUAAGACACUAACCCUAAAGUAACAUCAAGGCGUUCAGGCACCAGCAUUGCACAUGUGUGUGGGUGGUGCACUAGGAUAAAUGAAUCCAUCCUUCUGCAGAGAGUGCUGAGGGCACACAGUGUCUGACACUGGCCCAAGCACUUGUUUUCACUAGAACAACUGCUGGUGGGGUGGGGAGGUACUCAAACAAGUGACAACAAGAAUAUGGCAUUGCUGUCCUUGCUGAGGUGGUGGCUGCUUCUGUUGCUGCUGCUUUCUUCUUCUUCUUCUUCUUCUUCUUCUUCUUCUUCUUCUUCUUCUUCUUCUUCUUCUUCUUCUUCUUCUUCCUCUUCCUCUUUUUCUUCCUUCUCCUUCUUCUCCUCCUCCUCCCCUUCUUCUUCUUCUUCUUCUUCUUCUUCUUCUUCUUCUUCUUCUUCUUCUUCUUCUUCUUCUUCUUCUUCUUCUUCUUCUUCUUCUUCUUCUUCUUCUUCUUUCUCUCUCUCUCUCUCUCUCUCUCUCUCUCUCUCUCUCUCUCUCUCUCGAUAUAUAUCAGGAUGACCUUGAAUUUGUGGCUAUGCUCCUGCUUCUGCCUCCAGGGUGCAGAGUACUGGGAUUGCAAGCAUGUACCAUGAUACUUAGCUAGAAAUUUUUAUUUGUUUUUUGAGACUGGGUUUCUUUAUGUAGCCCUGGCUGUCCUGGAACUUACCAUGUAGACCAGGCUCCAAUUCAGAGAUCCACCUGCUUCUCCAUGCUUUGCUUUGGGGAUUCUUCUCUUUUCUCUUCUUUUUUUUUUCUUCUUUCCUUUUAAAAUGUAUAUGAGCACACUGUUGCUGGCUUCCAACAUAUCAGAAGAGGUCAUCAGAUCUCAUUAAAGGUGGUUGUGAACAUAUGUGGUUGCUGGGAAUUGAACUCAGGAUCUCUGGAAGAACAGUUAGUGCUCUUAACUGCUGAGCCAUCUCUCCAGCCCCACCUAGGGAAUUUUUAAUAAUUGAAAUUACCCAACAUAUGUAAUGGAAUGUCUCAUGCUUACAUUCAGAAAAGAAAUAAUAAAAAACAAAUCUUGUUACGAAGAAAACCGGGUAUGGAAAUACCAAGUCAAUGAACUUGGUCCAAGUUCAAGGUCAGUAGAGGGGCUGCACUCCCUGUGCCUCGAUCCCAGCCCUUCUACUCUUACAAACAUGCAGCAUGCCUACUACUCCGACUUUUCUUUCCUUUGUUUUUAAAGACAGGGUCUCACUAUGUAGCCUUGGCUAGCCUGGAACUCACCAUGUAGACCAGGAUGGACUCUUAACUCCUAGAGAUCAUCUGCCUCUACCUAGUGCUAAGAUUAAAGACAUCCUCAGUGUCCCCCAUCCUCCAGUGUCCCCAUCCUCCAGUGUCCCCCAUCCUCCAGUGUCCCCCAUCCUCCAGCUCACCUGCUGCAUCUGAGUUCCCACUGUAAAGGAGAUCACAGAUGUUUCCCCACUCGGGGUUGGUGAAGGUUAAGGGGAGCAUCAGAGAGACCUUAAGUCUGGUUCUCACCGACUUUAUACCUUGCCCAAUGGCACAUGCCAGCAUGAGAAACACGGAAAUUUGGCAAACCAUGCAAUCUACCAGGAACUCAGCUGUGAAGGGAGAGACAGUCCAAGAUUGCCUGCAAAGUUUCUGCUUCCUCUCAAGCCCUCCAGAGGCCCCAGAGGAAGGAGUCCUGACCCUGCCAUCUUCCUUAGACUCCAGGGCCUCCUUUUCUCUAAAGAGGCGUGGAGGGUGCUGAGUGUGGGGUGAAGGGGAGAUCAGUGCAGCCAGGCUGCAGUCAGGCACAGGAGGCUGACCUUCAGUUAGCUGCUGCUAGACUGAGCUCCCACUAGUUACCUAGGAAGGCACCCAAAAGCACCGGGAGGCUGGGGGGCGGCGGGUUGGGGCAGAGACCACCCAGGAGAAAUGAAGGGCUUGGUGUGGGGAGGGAAAGGAGGAAGCGGGGUGGGGGCAGUAUCAGAGAAGAAGGGGCACUAGAGAGUGAGGAAAAAAGCAGAAGUCAUUGUGUGGGGAGAAGGUUGAGGGAUGAUGCCGAAAAAGAGGAAGGGGUCAGCGGUGGCGGUAAGACUUUGGAGAAGGAAGGAGAAAGUCGAGAGGGAGGGAAGAGGAGGCGGUCCUGAUUCUCCACUUUACUGCCCAUUCCUUCUCCCUUGCUGAAACAUCCAGCCGGUGCCUUUGUGGCCUCUUGGGCUGGGUUGCAAUCUCAUGCCAACCCGCUUGCCGGUUGUCAGGAGGCCUCUGGGGAGGACGCUGCAGGAGCCUCAAACGCCACCUACUCCCGGCCUCUCUCCCGGUUGAUGUUUCUAUUUUGGGCACCACAUUAUUUCCUGCUGUGAUUUUUUUUUUCAGGCUUCUAAUUCAGGCUCUGAGGUAAGCUGUGACAUCCGCUCGUGCCCGCAGGCCCCUCCCGCACACUGCUUGUCCUCCUGGGGCGCGGGCACCCCUCAGGCCCAGCAGCAGUCCAGCCACUGCGGGGAGUCUUGGCAGGGCCUGCCUAAAAAUAAGCUUUCGGAUUUCCCCUCCCCCUGGUAGGGCAAAAGGAGGCUAGCUGGAAUAGAUUUCUAGGCAAGGAUUUGAGGGGGUGAUGGAGUGAGGUUGACAGGGACCUGCUAUAAACUGUGCCAUUGUGCCUAGGAAUGGGAGUCCAACGCUUCCGUGUCCGAAGUCUGUUUAACUAUAUUUGGACAAUGACCCUUUAGAGAUGCUGAUAAAGGCUACACAGAAUCCCAGAAACUGUCCACAACAAACUCACAGACAAAAUGGUAAAGCUCCCGGGAGUCUCACCCAUCCCAGUCCAUGGGGGUGACUUUAGCUGAGACUCCUAGCAGUGAGGAUAUGGAGCCUGUUGUGCUUGUAGACAGGAGCCUAGCAUAACUCCUCUGACAGCUACCCAGCAGCUGACUGAAACAGAUGCUGAGUCCCACAGUCAAACAUUAAAUGGAGCUUGGGGACUCUUGUGGAAGAGUUGUGGGAAGGAUUGCAGGCCCUGAAGGAAAUAGGAACUCUACAAGAAGACCAACAAAGUCAACUAACCUGGACCACUAGGGGCUCCCAGAAACUGAACCAUCAACCAAAGAGCAUACACAGGCUGGACCUAGGCCUCCUUGCACAUAUGGAACAGAUAUGUAGCUUGGUCUUCAUGUGGAUCUCCCAACAACUGGAGCAAGGGCUGUCCCUGAAUCUGUUGCCUGCCUGUGGGUCCUGUUCCCUUAACUAGGCUGCCUUGUCUGGCCUCAGUGGGAAAGGAUGUGCCUAGCCCUGCAAAGACUUGAUGUACCUAGGUUGGGGGAUAACCGAGGGAAGAGGGAGGGUUCCAUCUUCUCAGAGGAAAAGGGGAUGGGGGACUGUGUGAAGGAGGUACGGGGAGAGGGGAGCAGCAAUUGGGAUGUAAAGUGAAUAAAUAUAUAUAUCAAUGAAUAAGUAGGAAAAACGAUCAAGUUCCUCACAUGGCUGAAAGUGAAAGAGGCAGCGUCUUUUAAAAGGUCUUGGUCACUGGAGGUUUUUUUUUGCUUUUGAAUCACAUGCACCUUGUCUGCU
rnacentral:lncRNA from 1 species